AGAGUUUGAUCCUGGCUCAGGAUGAACGCUGGCGGCGUGCUUAACACAUGCAAGUCGAACGAAGCGCUUUAUUCAGAUUCUUUCGGGAUGAUGAAUUUAGUGACUUAGUGGCGGACGGGUGAGUAACGCGUGGGUAACCUGCCUUACACAGGGGGAUAACAGUUAGAAAUGACUGCUAAUACCGCAUAAAACAGCAGCACCGCAUGGUGCAACUGUCAAAGAUUUAUCGGUGUAAGAUGGACCCGCGUCUGAUUAGCCAGUUGGUGGGGUAACGGCCUACCAAAGCGACGAUCAGUAGCCGACCUGAGAGGGUGACCGGCCACAUUGGGACUGAGACACGGCCCAGACUCCUACGGGAGGCAGCAGUGGGGAAUAUUGCACAAUGGGGGAAACCCUGAUGCAGCGACGCCGCGUGAGCGAAGAAGUAUUUCGGUAUGUAAAGCUCUAUCAGCAGGGAAGAUAAUGACGGUACCUGACUAAGAAGCUCCGGCUAAAUACGUGCCAGCAGCCGCGGUAAUACGUAUGGAGCAAGCGUUAUCCGGAUUUACUGGGUGUAAAGGGAGUGUAGGUGGCCAGGCAAGUCAGAAGUGAAAGCCCGGGGCUCAACCCCGGGACUGCUUUUGAAACUGCAGGGCUAGAGUGCAGGAGGGGCAAGUGGAAUUCCUAGUGUAGCGGUGAAAUGCGUAGAUAUUAGGAGGAACACCAGUGGCGAAGGCGGCUUGCUGGACUGUAACUGACACUGAGGCUCGAAAGCGUGGGGAGCAAACAGGAUUAGAUACCCUGGUAGUCCACGCCGUAAACG
rnacentral:rRNA from 1 species